rnacentral:rRNA from 1 species
GGCAGCGCAGGGUUAGCAAUACCGCGGUGGCGACCGGCGCACGGGUGCAGUAACGCGUAUGCAACUUACCUAUCAGAGGGGGAUAACCCGGCGAAAGUCGGACUAAUACCGCAUGAAGCAGGGGCCCCGCAUGGGGAUAUUUGCUAAAGAUUCAUCGCUGAUAGAUAGGCAUGCGUUCCAUUAGGCAGUUGGCGGGGUAACGGCCCACCAAACCGACGAUGGAUAGGGGUUCUGAGAGGAAGGUCCCCCACAUUGGUACUGAGACACGGACCAAACUCCUACGGGAGGCAGCAGUGAGGAAUAUUGGUCAAUGGGCGUAAGCCUGAACCAGCCAAGUCGCGUGAGGGAUGAAGGUUCUAUGGAUCGUAAACCUCUUUUAUAAGGGAAUAAAGUGCGGGACGUGUCCCGUUUUGUAUGUACCUUAUGAAUAAGGAUCGGCUAACUCCGUGCCAGCAGCCGCGGUAAUACGGAGGAUCCGAGCGUUAUCCGGAUUUAUUGGGUUUAAAGGGUGCGUAGGCGGCCUUUUAAGUCAGCGGUGAAAGUCUGUGGCUCAACCAUAGAAUUGCCGUUGAAACUGGGAGGCUUGAGUAUGUUUGAGGCAGGCGGAAUGCGUGGUGUAGCGGUGAAAUGCUUAGAUAUCACGCAGAACCCCGAUUGCGAAGGCAGCCUGCCAAGCCAUGACUGACGCUGAUGCACGAAAGCGUGGGGAUCAAACAGGAUUAGAUACCCUGGUAGUCCACGCAGUAAACGAUGAUCACUAGCUGUUUGCGAUACAUUGUA